UAGGGAAUCUUCGGCAAUGGACGAAAGUCUGACCGAGCAACGCCGCGUGAGUGAAGAAGGUUUUCGGAUCGUAAAACUCUGUUGUUAGAGAAGAACAAGGACGUUAGUAACUGAACGUCCCCUGACGGUAUCUAACCAGAAAGCCACGGCUAACUACGUGCCAGCAGCCGCGGUAAUACGUAGGUGGCAAGCGUUGUCCGGCUUUAUUGGGCGUAAAGCGAGCGCAGGCGGUUUCUUAAGUCUGAUGUGAAAGCCUCCGGCUCAACCGGGGAGGGUCAUUGGCAACUGGGAGACUUGGGUGCAGAAGAGGAGAGUGGAAUUCCAUGUGUAGCGGUGAAAUGCGUAGUUAUAUGGAGGAACACCAGUGGCGAAGGCGGCUCUCUGGUCUGUAACUGACGCUGAGGCUCGAAAGCGUGGGGAGCAAACAGA
rnacentral:rRNA from 1 species